GCUAGGGUAGCUAAACUUAAAGUAUAACGCUAAAAACGUUACCAUGGGGCCUAAAAACCCCCACAAGCA
rnacentral:tRNA from 1 species